GAAAUGGUAGGAGUGCUCACAAUUGAAUUUUUCCUAGGAUAUAAAAAAUACAUAAGAAAUAAAUUAAUGGUGUUAAGAUAAAAAUAAAGAAGGGGGACUCAGUUCCUUCACAAGAAUGAACUGGAUGUGAACAGUCUACAAUGAUGACAUGGCAAAGGACGGGUGUGAGAAGCAUAUGAUUUGGUGGUUACCAUACACAUGUGUCUUGACAGUUGUUUAAUUUUCCCUGAUUGACCCAACCAUUGUGAGAGACGUAUUUCAUUUCUGAAACGCUUUCAUGGCAAGCUGAAUCUCCUUUGGGGGGGGGGGGGGCGGUUGGGAGGAUGAGGAGAGAAGAGGUUCGCGUGUGUCACACAUUUUUCUGACAGUGGCUUCGCAGAGGCUUCCUGGAGCUUGUUAAAAUAAUUCAGGAUGUACAAUUGUCGCAGAGACGGUAGAGGAAGGGUGAGGAGGACUGGGGUUAUAGCUGAAGUGGCUUUGUAAACAGCCUCCGCUUUGGAUUGUUUUUUUUAACAUGUGCCAGGCAUUCCUCUGACUUCCAUCCUGACUUGGUUGUGGCUAUCUGUCUGUCUGUGAGUCUUGGGUGUUGCCUGUUUGAAAGCCGGAGUUGUCUCAGCCUGGGCGUUUUCUGUUUCGGCUUAUGGCUCUUUUCCCCUCUCUCUUUUCCUGAAUGAGUGUCCUUUGUGUAACCCCAGUAAUUCAGAAAUCCUGCAGUCGGAGGGACUGCCCUGUCACGUGACUUGGGUACUAGGUGCUGCCUGUGAUUGGUCAGCAGCUAAUUGGCGGGUCCCUAUAAGAGGUCCCACUUCUGGAGUCAGACCACUCUCCUGCCCGGGCUGCUACUCAGUGGGGGCCAGAGGGUGGAGAGGGCCCGGUUGCCAGUGAGUCAGCCACAUGUGACAGAUGACCAAGGGACUGCUCCUUGGAGUCGGUGCAUCCGUGGAAGACACCCAAUGGGUUGUGACUGGCUUGAUCAAACUCUGGCUUCCUGAACUGGAAUGAAAUGCAGAUAACCGUUUAGAAAGCUUUUGUAGGAAAGCACCUCGUGUGAUCUGGAACAAAGACAUUAUAUAAUCAGAUUUCUCAUGCUGUGAAGAGGGAGUUUGAGCGAACAGAAGCAGCAUUCUGUCACCAGGAAAUACUGCUUGAUCCAGAAUUGGUAUCUUAAGCCAAAUUGAAGGUUGAAUCUGCAUUUCUGACUCGGUUCCCAUUCUGUUGCUUUCAAAAUCUUAAAAUUCAUAACUCGAAAUGGAAAAUGUACAAUAAAAUGCAGGCUAGCAAUGCUGCAGUUCUCUCUGGCACUGGAGUGGGGUGAGGGUAGAGGAGAAGGAAAUGAAUCCAUGGGGAUGUGUUAAUUGGUAUUUUUUCUCUUGUAAUUAGAUAAUGUUGAAGAUUAUUAUUCUCAAGCAGCUUUCAAAGACAUUGACAAAAAGCAAGAUAAGCAUGGCCUUUAGGGGCACUUCCUCUAAUAAGUCAGAUCGCUGAUGCAAGUGUGAAUAUUACAAUUAUUUGACUUAAUUAAGGUGUGGCUGAAGAUGUGAAAAAAGACUACUCAAUCCCUUGAAUCACAUGAAUUUAUAGGUUUUAGAUAGAGUCUUGAAGACAGAAAAAUGGUGAUGAAGAAUUAAGAUAUUGACAGGUAAUUUACAUCCCACUCACUGCUAGUUGUAUUCAGUGAUUCACAAGUAUUUUCAGCUCUGUCUUUCAUGUAAUUACUUGGGCAAAAUAAGAUGAUUUAACAAUCUAGCUAAAAAAAACUACCAUUUUAAUGGGAAAAAAUCCCCUAUAUAAUUUGUAGAUUUGACUCAUCCAUUUAGAAUCUAUUGUCAUGAAUGGGAAAAAAAAAAUGAAGAGGACUGAAACAGUAAAUGCUGGAAAGUAUUUUCCAGAAUAAUUCUUUUAGAUCUUCAUGUUUUCAGCUCUGUUUGCUGUGUUGUUAUUUACAAAAUAUGUAUGAAAAAUAAAUAACACGGCCUUGUCCUGAAUUCUCCACUGGUGUUAUUGAAAGUAUUAAUAUUUUAUGUACUCUGUAAACAGUGUGCAUGCGUCCUUGUCUUUAUGGGUAUGUAAAGAUACAAACCAAAAAGAAUCUGGUCAAGUGACAGACCUCAAAAUAUUUUCUCCCAAAUUGUCUUUGGUAUUUUUAUAGUCAAAAAUAGAAACAUUUUCCUUUUGGGCUUGUUUCUUACCUUUCUGAUGUGUUAUACCUUUUUGCCCAACUUUUUAAGGUAUGCAUAUAUAUGUGUUUAGAUACUUGAUUGGAAGGGGGAGCUUUAAUUGCCAGCAAAACAAGUGGUGUUUGUUAGAACCUAGAAAAGCCUCAUGGUGUUGUUCCUUUGACAACUGAGGGGCUGGGUGUUGAAACGUAGCUUGAAGUUCUCAGUUUGGAAAUGUCAUUCAGACCUCCCACCACAGUCUUACUGAGUGAGUAGGAGGAUAAUGAGAAGGGGGGAAACCACGAAGCACUUUAAGUAUCUCCAUUCUUUUCAUGUCUUCCUGACUUGGCUUUGUGUAUGGAUCACCAUGGGGGUGGUAAGCCCUAGAUCUUGAACAAAGCAAUACUUCAGUAUAAAAUAAAUGGAAAAGGAUC